AGCGAACGCUGGCGGCGUGCUUAACACAUGCAAGUCGAGUGCGUAGCCCUUUGUAGCAAUACAGAGGGUGGGCGCACGGCGCACGGGUGAGUAACACGUGGGUAACCUGCCCUUCGGUGGGGAAGUAACCCCGCGAAAGACGGGGCGUAAUUCCGCAUAACAUUCCGGGACGACAUGUUCUCGGACUCAGAGGAGUGAUUCGCC
rnacentral:rRNA from 1 species